rnacentral:rRNA from 1 species
UACGUAGGGUGCGAGCGUUAAUCGGAAUUACUGGGCGUAAAGGGUGCGCAGGCGGCCCUGUAAGACCGGUGUGAAAUCCCCGGGCUCCAACCUGGGAAUUGCGCUGGUGACUGCAGGGCUAGAGUACGGUAGAGGGGGGUGGAAUUCCUGGUGUAGGCAGUGAAAUGCGUAGGAGAAUCAGGAGGAACACCGAUGGCGAAGGCAGCCCCCUGGGCCUGUACUCGACGCCUCAUGCACGAAAGCGUGGGGAGCAAACAGGAUUAGAUACCCGGU